UAUUCAGCAAUCACUUUUUUACUUUCUUUUUUAUUCCCCCCAUCUAGGGAGGCGGAAUUUCGGUGUAAAAACGAAAGUGAAAAUUCCAGAGCCUCCCUUAGGGAGGCUUUUUUGUA
rfam:Shewanella violacea DSS12 DNA, complete genome.